rnacentral:rRNA from 1 species
GACGAACGCUGGCGGCGUGCUUAACACAUGCAAGUCGAGCGGUAAGGCCCUUUCGGGGGUACACGAGCGGCGGACGGGUGAGUAACACGUGGGUGACCUGCCCUCAGCUCUGGGGAUAAGCCUGGGAAACCGGGUCUAAUACUGGAUAUGACUCCAUGACGCAUGGUUGUGGGGUGGAAAGCCUUGUGCGGCUGAGGAUGGGCCCGCGGCCUAUCAGCUUGUUGGUGGGGUGAUGGCCUACCAAGGCGACGACGGGUAGCCGGCCUGAGAGGGCGACCGGCCACACUGGGACUGAGACACGGCCCAGACUCCUACGGGAGGCAGCAGUGGGGAAUCGUUGCGCAAUGGGCGAAAGCCUGACGCAGCGACGCCGCGUGAGGGAUGACGGCCUGG